rnacentral:lncRNA from 1 species
UUCAUUUUUGAUCAUAAACAUUGCAUCCAUUUACAUUCAUGAUUCUUUGUACUUCAUUACACAUUGCAUCAUUCCUUUCUUACAUCACAUUUACCUCAAAAUAAGCUUUACAUUCUCUCUCAACAUCACUAGUCAUCAAAUACAAAAGAUGAACAUAGGGUACUUACUACAAAAUGAAAUCCAACUUUGGUGGCCUCUAACUAAGGCGCGAUACCUUUACCUCGGUCGCUCGCCGGCUCGCUCGGUCCCGGCUCUGUGGAAAUAGUGGGGUGAGAACUACAACAAAGUUCCCAGUAGGUUCGGCCUCAACAUCAC